UCCCUCAGUAACGGCGAGUGAAGCGGGAAGAGCUAAAUUUGAAAUCUGGGGGCUUCGCCCUCCGAAUUGUAGUUUAGAGAGGCGUUUUCGGUGGCGUCAUCGGUCCAAGUUCCUUGGAAUGGGACAUCAUAGAGGGUGAGAAUCCCGUUGAUGGCCGACAGAUGCGCUGCCUUGUGAUACGCUUUCGACGAGUCGGGUUGUUUGGGACUACAGCCCAAAAUGGGUGGUAAAUUUCAUCUAAAGCUAAAUACGGGCGAGAGACCGAUAGCGAACAAGUACCGUGAGGGAAAGAUGAAAAGCACUUUGAAAAGAAGGUCAAAUAGUACGUGAAAUUGUUAAAAGGGAAGCGCUUGGAACCAGUGAGUGCGCGCAGGGAAUUCAGGUUGCGGUCCGUAUGGACGCGUUCUGCGGAUGAGCCGAUCACCUCGGCCGUCGGGGGCGCGUCGCGUGCGGGCUGCGGCUGCACUUUCCUUGCGUGCGAGUCAGCAUCAGUGCACCGCGCCGGAGAUGGGUGCUGGGGAGGUGGCGUCGCCCUCGGGCAACGUGUUAUACCCCGGCAUCGUGUACGGCGUGGCGGACUGAGGAUGUCGCAGCGUGUCCACGGGACCCCUCGUUCAUGGCUGUGCGUGUGCUGUAGGCCUGCUUGCAGACUGCGGCGCACGGGCGGCUAUGUGCGGGGAUGAAUGUCACCCACCACGCUCCGGAUGCCUGGCGAAAUGGUUUCAAUCGGCCCGUCUUGA
rnacentral:rRNA from 1 species